rnacentral:rRNA from 1 species
CCUACGGGGCGCAGCAGUGAGGAAUAUUGGUCAAUGGACGAGAGUCUGAACCAGCCAAGUAGCGUGAAUGAUGACUGCCCUAGGGGUUGUAAACUUUUUUUAUAAAGGAAUAAAACGAGGCACGUGUGCCUUUUUGCAUGUACUUCAUGAAUAAGGAUCGGCUAACUCCGUGUCAGCAGCCGCGGUAAUACGGAGGAUCCGAGCGUUAUCCGGAUUUAUUGGGUUUAAAGGGGGCGUAGAUGGGUUGUUAAGUCAGUUGUGAAAGUGUGCGGCUCAACCGUAAAAUUGCAAUUGAUACUGGCAGUCUGGAGUGCAGUUGAGGUAGGCGGAAUUCGUGGUGUAGCGGUGAAAUGCUUAGAUAUCACGAAGAACCCCGAUGGCGAAGGCAGCUUACUAAACUGUGACUGACAUUGAUGCUCGAAAGUGUGGGUAUCAAACAGGAUUAGAUACCCGAGUAGUC